rnacentral:rRNA from 1 species
UCUCUCUGAAUCUGCGAACGGCUCCGCAAAACAGUUGUAAACUAUAGCAAGCACGCUUAUCAGGUCGCAAGGCUUGGUAGGCUACAUGGAUAACCCUGGUAAUUCUGAGGCUAAUACAAGAACGUACCACCUGUCUAACCGGGCAACUGGAAGGGCGGGGGGCGUGCAACACGGCGCAAAAAAUACUGGGAAUCGGUGCACGCUCAGACCAUCAUAAAAACGGUUGAACUGGGCUCCGGCUCGGGUCUUCUGGGUGGCUCUUGCGAUGUGCUUCUGACCUAUCAACUAGAUGGCAGCAUAAGGGACAUGCUAUGGUUACAACGGGUACAGAGGAUAAGGGUUCGAUCCUGGAGAGUGGGCCUGAGAGAUU